rnacentral:misc_RNA from 1 species
AAGUCGUAACAAGGUUUCCGUAGGUGAACCUGCGGAAGGAUCAUUAGUGAAUCUUCAAAAGUCGGCUCGUCGGAUUGUGCUGGUGGAGACACAUGUGCACGUCCGUCGGGUCGCAAACCCACACACCUGUGCAUCUAUGACUCUGAGUGCCGCUUUGCAUGGCCUUGACCGGCCUGGUGCUCGAGUACUUUUCACACACUCCUGAAUGUAACGGAAUGUCUUGUUGUGCGUAAUGUACAAAUUGAAACAACUUUCAACAACGGAUCUCUUGGCUCUC